rnacentral:rRNA from 1 species
AUGAACGCUAGCGACAGGCUUAACACAUGCAAGUCGAGGGGCAGCACAGGUAGCAAUACCGGGUGGCGACCGGCGCACGGGUGAGUAACGCGUAUGCAACUUACCUAUCAGAGGGGGAUAACCCGGCGAAAGUCGGACUAAUACCGCAUGAAGCAGGGGCCCCGCAUGGGGAUAUUUGCUAAAGAUUCAUCGCUGAUAGAUAGGCAUGCGUUCCAUUAGGCAGUUGGCGGGGUAACGGCCCACCAAACCGACGAUGGAUAGGGGUUCUGAGAGGAAGGUCCCCCACAUUGGUACUGAGACACGGACCAAACUCCUACGGGAGGCAGCAGUGAGGAAUAUUGGUCAAUGGGCGUAAGCCUGAACCAGCCAAGUCGCGUGAGGGAUGAAGGUUCUAUGGAUCGUAAACCUCUUUUAUAAGGGAAUAAAGUGCGGGACGUGUCCCGUUUUGUAUGUACCUUAUGAAUAAGGAUCGGCUAACUCCGUGCCAGCAGCCGCGGUAAUACGGAGGAUCCGAGCGUUAUCCGGAUUUAUUGGGUUUAAAGGGUGCGUAGGCGGCCUUUUAAGUCAGCGGUGAAAGUCUGUGGCUCAACCAUAGAAUUGCCGUUGAAACUGGGAGGCUUGAGUAUGUUUGAGGCAGGCGGAAUGCGUGGUGUAGCGGUGAAAUGCUUAGAUAUCACGCAGAACCCCGAUUGCGAAGGCAGCCUGCCAAGCCAUGACUGACGCUGAUGCACGAAAGCGUGGGGAUCAAACAGGAUUAGAUACCCUGGUAGUCCACGCAGUAAACGAUGAUCACUAGCUGUUUGCGAUACAGUGUAAGCGGCACAGCGAAAGCGUUAAGUGAUCCACCUGGGGAGUACGCCGGCAACGGUGAAACUCAAAGGAAUUGACGGGGGCCCGCACAAGCGGAGGAACAUGUGGUUUAAUUCGAUGAUACGCGAGGAACCUUACCCGGGUUUGAACGCAUUCGGACCGAGGUGGAAACACCUUUUCUAGCAAUAGCCGUUUGCGAGGUGCUGCAUGGUUGUCGUCAGCUCGUGCCGUGAGGUGUUGGGUUAAGUCCCGCAACGAGCGCAACCCCUAGUAUUAGUUGCCAGCGAGUAAUGUCGGGAACUCUAAUACGACUGCCGGUGAUAAAUCGGAGGAAGGUGGGGACGACGUCAAAUCAUCAUGCCCUUUAUGUCUUGGGCUACACACGUACUACAAUGGCUAUAACAAAGAGAAGCGAAAUAGCGAUAUGGAGCAAAACUCAAAAAAAUAGUCUCAGUUCGGAUUGAAGGCUGAAAUUCGCCUUCAUGAAGCUGGAAUUGCUAGUAAUGGCAGGUCAGCAUACUGCCGUGAAUACGUUCCCGGGCCUUGUACACACCGCCCGUCACACCAUGAGAGUUGGAAAUACCCGAAGCCUGUGAGCUAACAAACGAGGCAGCAGUCGAAGGUAGAGCCAAUGAUUGGGGUG